CACGUAGGAGGCGAGCGUUAUUCGGAUUUACUGGGCGUAAAGCGCGUGCAGGCGGCUAAUCAAGUUGGAUGUGAAAGCUCCCGGCUUAACUGGGAGAGGACGUUCAAAACUGAAUAGCUUGAGUAUGAGAGAGGAAAAUGGAAUUCCGGGUGUAGUGGUGAAAUGCGUAGAUAUCCGGAGGAACACCAGUGGCGAAGGCGAUUUUCUGGCUCAAGACUGACGCUCAGACGCGAAAGCUAGGGUAGCAAACGGGAUUAGAGACCCCGGUAGUCCUAGCUGUAAACGAUGUAGACUAGGCGUUGGUGGAGUAAAAUCCAUCAGUGCCGCAGCAAACGCGAUAAGUCUACCGCCUGGGGACUACGGCCGCAAGGCUAAA
rnacentral:rRNA from 1 species